CCUUUACCUUUAGCUUAGUGGUAGAGCAUCUGUUUUGCAUGAAAAAGGUCCCAGGUUCAAAUCCCAGCCUCUCCAGGUAGGA